UAGUAAUGUGACAGUUGCUAGGAAUGAUGUAAAUGACUUGAUUUUGUUUCAACCUUUGCAGCAAGAUAAUUUUCUGAAACCUGCAAGGUACUGAAUUUAUCAUACUGAACUGCUAAUGGUUAAUACAUCAUACUGCUGGCAGAAAUAGAAGACAUCACAUGUUACAAUCCUGCAGCUCUUUAUGUUGCAGUUGGCCUUGUGAUUCCUAAUGUUCGUCCUAGUUGUGAUACAUAACAUAUUCUGAGCAUAACUCAGAAUACACCUGGACAAGCACACACCUCAAAAAUUAGGCAUUUUUGAUAGAAGGAUGAUCCAGAAACAAACAUUUUCGAUUAAAGAUCUGGAUUUAAAAGACCAUCUGCAGUGUAGAAGAGUAGAAAAACAUAGGAGCCCAAGAGGAGAGAGAGUUGGGCUUUGCAGGAUUUUAAAAUAUUGCACCAAUGAACAAGGCAGGCAAGUGAAGGAUAAAAAAUAAGAAGAUCCCAUAGCGACUGAGAAGUUUUUCAGAGACCAAUUUCUAUUUCAGGCUUAUUUCUUCACAGUUUCUAUUGGAGACUAAGUGCUUUUCAGUAACAAUUAUAAGCCAAGUUUGUAAAAAUCUGAGCUGCAGACAAGGGUUUGGAGGACAGUACAUGUUGAGGGAGAAGUGCUGGGAGAACUUAAUGAUGACUUAAUGUGAGAAGGCUAUUGAAUUUCUGGGACAUUGUUCACAGAAUUAUCUACACUGUUUGAAGGCACCAACCGGCUCGUCUUGGCUCCGGAGUGCACAAUUCCAUGUUUGUCUGCUCCACGUGUCAGCACGCACCAGCACCGCCCGUGUCUCUUACAGAGCUUUCCCACCUGAAUUCAGGAAGAUUAUUCUGCCUUUUGUAGGGCUGGGAGUGGAACAGGAGCUGUUGGGAAAGGGCCUGAAGUCCUGGAGAUGUCCUUCU